rnacentral:tRNA from 1 species
AAAUCUUCUGAUAAGUCAUAGCUUCUAACUAUGUAGUAGUAACUACCGUUACUAAGAUUUU